GUGGGGAAUAUUGCGCAAUGGACGAAAGUCUGACGCAGCGACGCCGCGUGGGUGAUGAAGUUCUUCGGAACGUAAAACCCUGUCUGGUGGAACGAAAAAAAUGACGGUACCACCGAAGGAAGCCCCGGCUAACUCCGUGCCAGCAGCCGCGGUAAUACGGGGGGGGCUAGCGUUAUUCGGAAUUACUGGGUGUAAAGGGCGCGUAGGCGGCCUUGCUAGUCAGGUGUGAAAUCCCUCGGCUCAACUGAGGAACUGCGCUUGAUACUGCAAGGCUUGAGUACAGGAGAGGUGGGCGGAAUUCCCGGUGUAGCGGUGAAAUGCGUAGAUAUCGGGAAGAACAUCGGUGGCGAAGGCGGCUCACUGGACUGUAACUGACGCUGAGGCGCGAAAGCGUGGGGAGCGAACGGGAUUAGAAACCCCAGUAGUCC
rnacentral:rRNA from 1 species